rnacentral:rRNA from 1 species
GACGAACGCUGGCGGCGUGCUUAACACAUGCAAGUCGAACGAAGAGCGAUGGAAGCUUGCUUCUAUCAAUCUUAGUGGCGAACGGGUGAGUAACGCGUAAUCAACCUGCCCUUCAGAGGGGGACAACAGUUGGAAACGACUGCUAAUACCGCAUACGAUCUAAUCUCGGCAUCGAGGAUAGAUGAAAGGUGGCCUCUACAUGUAAGCUAUCACUGAAGGCGGGGAUUGCGUCUGAUUAGCUAGUUGGAGGGGUAACGGCCCACCAAGGCGAUGAUCAGUAGCCGGUCUGAGAGGAUGAACGGCCACAUUGGGACUGAGACACGGCCCAGACUCCUACGGGAGGCAGCAGUGGGGAAGCUUCCGCAAUGGACGAAAGUCUGACGGAGCAACGCCGCGUGAGUGAGGACGGCCUUCGGGUUGUAAAGCUCGGUUAAUCGGGACGAAAGGCCUUCUUGCGAAUAGUGAGAAGGAUUGACGGUACCGGAAUAGAAAGCCACGGCUAACUACGUG